rnacentral:rRNA from 1 species
GACGAACGCUGGCGGCGUGCUUAACACAUGCCAGUCGAACGGAAAGGCCCUGCUUUUGUGGGGUGCUUGAGUGGCGAACGGGUGAGUAACACGUGAGUAACCUGCCCUUGACUUUGGGAUAACUUCAGGAAACUGGGGCUAAUACCGGAUAGGAGCUCCUGCUGCAUGGUGGGGGUUGGAAAGUUUCGGCGGUUGGGGAUGGACUCGCGGCUUAUCAGCUUGUUGGUGGGGUAGUGGCUUACCAAGGCUUUGACGGGUAGCCGGCCUGAGAGGGUGACCGGCCACAUUGGGACUGAGAUACGGCCCAGACUCCUACGGGAGGCAGCAGUGGGGAAUAUUGCACAAUGGGCGGAAGCCUGAUGCAGCAACGCCGCGUGCGGGAUGACGGCCUUCGGGUUGUAAACCGCUUUCGCCUGUGACGAAGCGUGAGUGACGGUAAUGGGUAAAGAAGCACCGGCUAACUACGG